rnacentral:lncRNA from 10 species
GAGGAGACCUUUUUCCAAAGUCACUCACACAGCCUCAGGUGUUUACAGGCCUCAGGUCCUUGCUGGCUGUUGGCCAGAGGCCUCAGUUCCUUGCCACAAGGGCCUCCCCAUAGGUUACUCACAACAUAACAGUUUGCAGCCCCCAGAACAAGGACCCCAGAGACAGAGUGAGAGAGGGCAAGAGAAGGCAAGAUGCAAGUCACACUCUUUUUGUAACCUAAUCCCAUCACAUUUCCUGAAUUCUGCUCAUUAGAAAGAAGUCACUAGAUUCAGCCCACAUUCAAGAUGAGAAAUACCAGAAGGCAGAGAACACUGAGGCUGUUUUAGAGGCUGUCAACCCCAGGGAGACAGACAGCAAAUAAGUAAGCAAAUAAAUAAAAAUGGAAGGUGAUAAUAAGUGCAAUGAAAAGAAAUGAAGCAGAGUAAAGAAUCAAGAGUAGCAGUUGAGGGGAUGCUUGGAUGUUUUCACACCACUCUGACACAUGGAUGGAAGGUUAGAAGACAACAAAGGAAUGGGCUGGGAAGGACUCCAAAAGCAGAAUCAGAGAUUAUAUCAUUCCUUGGAAAUGGAGAAAAGGAUCAAAAAAGCUGAAUAAAAGGCAAACAUGGAGGAACAGAGUUUGGAGCAAUACCCUGACUUACAUUCAGUACUGUUAAUGGCUCCAGCAUCUUGAAACAAACCAAUUUUGGAUUUUCAGGUCAUCUCAAUACUGUCUUAACACAUCUGAUCUGAGGUGUAGACCAUUCAAAAGGCAAAGUGAGCAGUCUAUUCUCACUCCUGGAUUCUUCAUUAAAAUAUUAUAUUCCCAGCAUUUCUGUGUCAAAAGG